UACGUAGGGCGCGAGCGUUGUCCGGAAUUACUGGGCGUAAAGGGCUCGUAGGCGGCCAACUAAGUCCGACGUGAAAUCCCCAGGCUUAACCUGGGAACUGCGUCGGAUACUGGGAGGCUUGAGUAUGGGAGAGGGAUGUAGAAUUCCAGGUGUAGCGGUGAAAUGCGUAGAUAUCUGGAGGAAUACCGGUGGCGAAGGCGGCAUCCUGGACCAUUACUGACGCUGAGGCGCGAAAGCUAGGGGAGCAAACGGGG
rnacentral:rRNA from 1 species